rnacentral:rRNA from 1 species
GACGAACGCUGGCGGCGCGCUUAACACAUGCAAGUCGAACGGAAAGGCCUGCUUUCCCUUGUGGAUUGCGGGUACUCGAGUGGCGAACGGGUGAGUAACACGUGAGUGAUCUGCCCCCAACUUGGGUAUAAGCCUGGGAAACUGGGUCUAAUUCCCGAUAGGACUGCAGGGUGGUGCCUGUGGUGGAAAACGAUUUUCUAGUGGUUGGGGAUGAGCUCGCGGCCGAUCAGCUUGUUGGUGGGGUAAUGGCCUACCAAGGCGGCGACGGGUAGCCGGCCUGAGAGGGUGGACGGCCACAUUGGGACUGAGAUACGGCCCAGACUCCUACGGGAGGCAGCAGUGGGGAAUAUUGCACAAUGGGCGGAAGCCUGAUGCAGCGACGCCGCGUGGGGGAUGACGGCCUUCGGGUUGUAAGCUCCUUUCGACCGCGAGGAAGCCACCUGGUUGGAAGGGUGGUGACGGUAGUGGUAGAAGAAGCACCGGCUAACUACGUG